GGGUGACUAGUCUAGUGGUCAGGACGCUUCGUUGUGGAAUUUUCUUUGGAAAAUGCCUUUGGAAUCCUCUGUGGUUCCCAACGACCGAAGAAACCCCGGUUCGAUUCCGGGGUCGCCCA